GUAGUAUUUAGAGACCUCUAGCCUGAGUGAAGGACAGCUGGGAGAAAAGUUGUGUCAUCGUGACCAUCAUUGUUUUUAUCAUAAUCAUCAGCUUUAAUUGUUUGCACACAACUGUUCUUUGGAACAAUUCCAAAGUAUUUAUCCCCAAAUCUAUCUUUCUAUGUAUUUAUUUUGGAAACCACAGCUGCCAAUAAUGGCAAGAUUGAGCGACCGCUCUAUAGAUGGGGACAUAGCUUGGAGCCACCUAAGUGUCUGAGCCAGGAUGGAGUAUUGAGGAAACAAGCAUAGGAUUAAAGGUAAAGGUGAAGGGACCCCUGACCAUUAGGUCCAGUCGUGGCCGACUCUGGGGUUGCGGCGCUCAUCUCGCUUUACUGGCCGAGGGAGCCGGCGUACAGCUUCCAGGUCAUGUGGCCAGCAUGACUAAGCCGCUUCUAGCGAACCAGAGCGGUGCAUGGAAAUGCCAUUUACCUUCCCGCUGGAGCGGUACCUAUUUAUCUACUUUCACUUUGACGUGCUUUCGAACUGCUAGAUUGGCAGGAGCAGGGACCGAGCAACGGGAGCUCAUCCCAUCACGGGGAUUCGAACCACCAACCUUCUGAUGGGCAAGUCCUAGGCUCUGUGGUUUAACCCACAGCGCCACCCGCAUCCCCUAGCAGAGGAUUAGGAAGCUCCUAAAAUGCAUGCUUCAAAGUCUGUAGUACUUCCAUACUGUGGCAUACUAAUAAGUGGCAUCAAGGGUGCCCUUCAGCCAGGGAAUCAAAUUAGAUCUUUGUGAAUUGUGAUACAAUGUGAACCGCAGUUUCCUUCAGAUGCUGCACUUCCCUGAAUUUAGCAAUGCAGUUCUUGGCUCUAAAAUGUACAGAAUAUGUAUGAAAAUGUGUGUUUCAGAAUGAGAUCUGUCUUUUUUUUCCUCCCUGAAAACAAUGUGUUCAAACUACGUAUUUAAGUGCUAUCUGAAUAUGGAUUUUCCUGUGGAUUUCUUCCCUUUAAAAAAUCCACAGAUGAGUGCAGAAUCAGGACUGAUAAAAUAAUACAUGUGGAAAAAUGACCAGCCAUCCUUACCCCUGGCAAUGCUUUCUGAUGCUCUGGUGUGCCAAACAUGGAAGCAAGGAGCUGAGUACAGUACAAAAGAUUAUGAAAUUCACAGACUCAAAGUGCGCAUUAAUACAUUCCUCUAAAGUUUGCCUGCAGGGAAGCUUAAGUGGUUUUUAGAGAAAAGCCUCCCCAUUUAGCAUUCUGCUAUGCAGAACAGCUCAGUACCCAUGUCAAGUGUAACAUGAGAAGCAGCUCACAGAUUCCUUUAUGGAAGAUUAUCUCUCGAUUACCAUCACCUCUAUCUAAGCUCUUGUUUCCUAAAGAGGUAUAUGGACUAGGUUUGUAGGUUCUAUUAUUCUCACUCGUCUUUCAUCUGUCCCAUGAAAUUGGCUUUGUUUUAUUUCCAGCUCUUGAAAAAGUGAUGUCACCUCCAAUCCCUUUUUCCAUUUGUAUCAUGGGGGGUGUUUAUCAAACCACUCUUUAAAUAAAAAUAUAUACAAAACACAUUUCUGAUGUGAGAAAGAGUUCCAGGAAUAACCAUAUAAUUUCAAAACGAUACUGAUUUUGUUUAUAUGCAACAUAAUCUUUUACAGUGCUUAGUCUUUAUUUGAAGCAUUGCAAAGUGGAUUUUUAUGAAAGGUAUUAUAAAAGACUCCUUGUUUCUUCAUAACAGAUUUGAACAUUAACUGAUCAGAGUUCAGAUAAAUAGUCUUUACUCUCCAUUAAAAUAUUAAAAAGCCUUUGGUAAGAAACUGGCAUAAAGAUCCUUCAUUCUUGUUUAAUGAACACUUGUUGGCAAGUAUAACACUUUAAUAGCUUUGCAGAAUGAAUUUUGUGUGAGCAUCUUCCAUUUCCCUGUCAGACGCUUGUCCAGGUGCUGGGAAUUUAUUGGGGGAAGCAUAUUUUUACUCAUUAGUUUUGUAUUUGAUUACAGAACAGUAAAAUAUGAACCACCAAGUCCCCGAGGCAUAGCUGUGUACAUUGAGAUUAGUAAUUGCAUGUCAUCGUGUUUUCCAUUGGAAUUUAUAUGGACAGAUGGGAUAGGUGCUUCUUAAGUGGGUUUAAAAGCAAAGCAAAUUUGUAUUUAAUCUUUUUUCCAGGCAUAUUUUCCCUCAUGGAGGAAAGGUUAGGACAGAUGAUAUAUUUUAAACACAGUUUUAAUUUAUUUUUUCCCCUGCCUCGUUCCCCUCCUCCUUUUGUUAAAAGUAUGAGGAUUUCUGCUCUAAGAGUGAGAGGUUUGUAUAUAAUAUGAAAGCCAGGUACAGUAUACAUGUAUAUAGAUAUAUACCUGCUAAAGAAAACCAAAUACAUACCUGCUCAUUUAAUCAACGUGAGGGAGAGGUGUAUAAUAGAAAUUAGCAUAAAGGUGUUUACAUGGAUGGAUGGACAGGUGUAAAUCUGUAGAUGGUAUUUUAAUUGUAAUGUGGGAGAACGCAAUGGAAAACCAUUUCACACCGUCUUUCUUUCAUUCGUUUAAACCCUUUUCUGCUGCACAUUUAUUUUACUCCCUCUGAAAGCCCUUUGAGCAUGUUGAUCAGAGAAGAUUGGGGUUACAGAGCUUCAUAUUUCAAAUGUUACAUUUCCUGCGAUAAAGUAACAAAUUUGCUUGAAGUGCUUUUAGUUUAACAAAAACCACAUAUGCUACAGCAGCCGCAUAGAUGAUCUUCAUCUCACACUGUAUAUGUGGAGUUACAGAAUGCCAAGCAUGCCUAGAUUAUUAUUUUUUUGUAUAAAAAUGCUCAUAAAUGCAAUUUCCAAAACAGAAUCUAAUGAGGUACUUAAUAGUCACAAAACUGGCACAUUUGAUAAUUAAUGUUCCUUACUGACUUUUUGCUGAUGCAGCAUAGUUUGAAAGAGAGAAGAAAGUUAACUGAACAUUUCGCUUGAUCCAACAGGGAAAAUGAAAAGUUAACUUUUAUGUUUUAAUAAAAAAAGAAAAAGAAAGUGCAAGAGAGAGAACUAUCUUCUUUGGUAUUUGACUGUCAUAGAUACAGGCCCUUCUAAUUGCUCUAAAACUUCUAAUUAUGCUGAAAAUUCGUAUAAAUGCACCUAUUGUUCAACCAAAAUCAUAGUGAAAAAAAAUAAAUGUUCUGAAACCAGAGAUCCACUCAGAAAACAGCAGUCUGUACUUGUAUUUAUGUGCAUUGUAUGCUCAUUACACUGAGAAGACGAAUACCUGGACUCUACCUCCCUGCACCCAAACUGUUGAGCAGUUGUUUCAAAAGUUGUAUAAAAGGCAGUUUCUCUGUUAAGCUCAGAAUUGAGACUGGAACGGGUCCCACCUAUAUCUGUUGCUAUUUUAUGUAACGUAUUUGGAAUCUGCAGAAUAACAGAUAUAUAAAUAUAAUGAUCAGUGCACAUGACAGAGCUGGUAUUUAGAGCCCUCCUCGGCUGGGGAGGGCGGGAUACAAAUAAAAAUUUAUGAUGAUGAUGAUGAUGCACAAAAUAAUUGUAUACGUACUUUUUAGAGGAUUUAGCAGUCAUGAUAAGAGGACAGGUCCUCAUAUGGAUCUGUGACUGGUUAAAGAACAGGAAUAAAUGGACAGUUGUCAUAACCAAGGGAUUAAAGAAGCUGGUUCUCCUGAGCAUCCGUAUUUGGACCUGUGCUCUUUAACUUGUUUGAAAAUUACCUGGCGUUAGGGAUAUUGGGCAGUAUAUGGAUGUGUCAGGCUGAUCGACCACAGUCACCCCAGCUAUGGUUGAUGGUACUUGCUCUAGUCUUCCCCAGGCCCCAGCCUGACACUCUUAACUACGAUUCCACACUGGCCCCACAGUGGCAGGGAUGUAAGACCUAGAGCAGGCACCCCCAAACUCGGCCCUCCAGCUGUUUGGGAACUACAAUUCCCAUCAUCCCUGACCACUGGUCCUGUUAGCUAGGGAUGAUGGGAGUUGUAGUCCCAAAACAACUGGAGGGCCAAGUUUGGGGAUGCCUGACCUAGAGCAUAUUAGCCCAAACCUACCUAUCUACAGUGAUGCGACAGCUUGAUUCUGUUAAAUGACUUUCAAAUGUCAAGUAUUAAUGGGAAGAGCCCACAUGGCUAUUUUAUACAGCAAAAGCUAAAUAAAAAUAAAAAUAAAAUAAAACCUGCCUCUGCAACAGGGAUUAUAAAUUGGCCUCUCAAUCUAGGGUUCAGGACUUGCCAAUAACCGUUCUGCUCAGUAUCCUCCUCGGUGCUUUUGCCUGGCUGGGAUGUGUCUUUCAACUAUGGUUUGAAUAUCAUACCUUCCAACAUCUCUCCGAUUAAAAUAGGGACGUCUUAUUCCACAACAGCAGCAGCAGCAGCAGAAACAUCUGUGUAAGGCGGGUCUUCCUAAGGAAGUGAGGGGUACCUUAUGUGAUUUAACAUUGCCAAUCAAUAUGUAGAAACUCAAGAAGAAGAAGAAGAAGAAGAAGAAGAAGAAGAAGAAGAAGAAGAAGAAGAAGAAGAAAAGGAGUUUGGAUUUGAUAUCUCACUUUAUCACUACCCUAAGGAGUCUCAAAGCGGCUAACAUUCUCCUUUCCCUUCCUCCCCCACAACAAACACUCUGUGUGGUGAGUGGGGCUGAGAGACUUCAGAGAAGUGUGACUAGCCCAAGGUCACCCAGCAGCUGCAUGUGGAGGAGCAAGGAAUCAAACCCGGUUCACCAGAUUACGAGUCUACUGCUCUUAACCACUAUACCACACUGGCUCACGUGUUCUGAGCAUCAGUGGUGAUGCUCUAGUUCUGCUGCUGCCACUUAAGACAUACCCAAAGCCUUAAUAGGGAUGAGGGGUUUACUAGAGAUGGGGUGGGGUGGGCGGCUUCAAUUCAACUCACACUUAAAGGCGAACAUGCCUAAUUCACACUUUUUGAAACAAAAUGCUGCUGGCUUUCGAAAUUCACACUUCUCUUAUUUUUUCCCCUCAGUGCAGUUCCCCAGACAAGUAACGUGUACUAAACCCACCCCCACCCCCAAACAAUGCAUAUACUAUGGUAAUGUGAGAAUUAAAAUGUGUAUGUUGGUGAAAAUAGCACGCAGAAAUGUAUUCUAUUAGAGGAAAUCAGCUUUGCAAAAAUGUUACCAUACAAAUGGCAAAUAAUAUUAAUAACACAGUGGUACCUCGGGUUACAUACGCUUCAGGUUACAUACGCUUCAGGUUACAGACUCCGCUAACCCAGAAAUAUUACCUCGGGUUAAGGACUUCGCUUCAGGAUGAGAACAGAAAUCGUGCUCCGGCGGCGCGGUGACAGCGGGAGGCCCCAUUAGCUAAAGUGGUGUCUCAGGUUAAGAACAGUUUCAGGUUAAGAACGGACCUCUGGAACGAAUUAAGUACGUAACCAGAGGUACCACUGUAAUAAUAAUAAUAAUUUAUUAUUUAUACCCCACCCAUCUGGCUGGGCUUCCCCAGCCACUCUGGGCAGCUUCCAACAAAAUAUUAAAAUACAGUAAUGCAUUGAACAUUAAAAGCUUUCCUAAACCGGGAUACCGUACAUGCAUAUGCUGGGAGAAAUUCAUGCUAAAAUGUUGGGUUGUGGAAAAAAUAAUUGCAAACUGAUGUGGAAAUGUGGAGAAUCAAAUGGAAGACUGGGGAAACGAAAAAAUGAAAUUGACAUAAUUGGAAUUGCCCAUCCCUAGUGGUCACCCAAUAUAUCAGAUGGAUAUUAAUUUGAUAAUACCUGUAACUGCUAUCAUCUCACACAGAAAAGUGAUGCUUAGGUCUGUAAAGACUCUGUGUGUGUGUGUGUGUGUGUGUGUGUGUGUGUGUGUUGUUUAUCUCUGCUUGAAGAUCACAAUUGGAUGCCCUUCAUUAUCACUUUUUUCUCAUUUGUGAAAGGAAUGUUUGCCUCCAGUCCUUCCCCCACCCCUUCCGCCACUCUUUGGGUUUCCUCCUAAGCCUAUUUCAGAUGGUAUUGAAACUAUAAGAAUAAUUUUUCAACAAUACUCUGAUAACAAAGCACUUGAAAAAGGUAUAACCUUGUGGGUUGUUUAAAGAAAAGCAAAGAGGAGCUGUGAAUAGCUAUGAAGUCACUUUGCUGUUUUAAUGUGAUGAUCCCUCCGUUCCGCUGCUUCCCUGCCUCCAACUUUAAAAGCAUGCAUUCAGAUUCUUCUUUUAAAGUCAAGGCAAUGUGCUGAUUGACUGUACUGACAUAAUUGUGCUAAUGACAAGACACUGAGGCUACAUUGUUAGAUAUGUCGCUUAGCAUCACUAUUUAUUUAGUUCACUUCUGCCAAGCCCGACUUAUACUUUUAAUACAUUGUGGUUUCAGUCAGUCUCUUAAAGUGCUUCAUUGCUGAAAUAACAUUAUUUUCCUUUUUCUUUUUUUCCCAAAAAAAUAUUUAUUUAUUUUUAAAGUCUUUUAGCAGUAGUUCAAGAGAAGAAAGUCUCCCCCAGCAUCAUUAAACAAGGUUCAAAGUUUGUCCUCGCUGGAAGAUUCAAAGUUGGAGCACUUAGAGAAUGAAUUCUUUAAUCUGUAACAUGAUUAGCAAAAAGAGUUUUUUUGUAUCCAAGCCCAGCUUUUAACCCAGGUUAAUGGCAAUAAUAUGCUUUUUAAUCUAC